ACGAACGCUGGCGGCGUGCUUAACACAUGCAAGUCGAACGGAAAGGCCCUGCUUGCCGGGUACUCGAGUGGCGAACGGGUGAGUAACACGUGGGUGAUCUGCCCUGCACUUCGGGAUAAGCCUGGGAAACUGGGUCUAAUACCGGAUAGGAGCCAUUUUUAGUGUGAUGGUUGGAAAGUUUUUUCGGUGUAGGAUGAGCUCGCGGCCUAUCAGCUUGUUGGUGGGGUAAUGGCCUACCAAGGCGGCGACGGGUAGCCGGCCUGAGAGGGUGGACGGCCACAUUGGGACUGAGAUACGGCCCAGACUCCUACGGGAGGCAGCAGUGGGGAAUAUUGCACAAUGGGCGCAAGCCUGAUGCAGCGACGCCGCGUGGGGGAGGACGGCCUUCGGGUUGUAAACUCCUUUCGCUAGGGACGAAGCUUUUUGUGACGGUACCUAGAGAAGAAGCACCGGCUAACUACGUG
rnacentral:rRNA from 1 species